UUACGGCGAUAUCACUUUGAAACAUUGGUUCUCGUGCGAUCACCGAAGUUAAGUAACAUCGAGUCUGGUCAAUACUUAAAUGGGUAAGCUUAGGAAUACCAGGUGCUGUAA